rnacentral:rRNA from 1 species
UAUGUCUGGGAACUGCCUGAUGGAGGGGGAUAACUACUGGAAACGGUAGCUAAUACCGCAUAACGUCGCAAGACCAAAGAGGGGGACCUUCGGGCCUCUUGCCAUCGGAUGUGCCCAGAUGGGAUUAGCUUGUUGGUGGGGUAACGGCUCACCAAGGCGACGAUCCCUAGCUGGUCUGAGAGGAUGACCAGCCACACUGGAACUGAGACACGGUCCAGACUCCUACGGGAGGCAGCAGUGGGGAAUAUUGCACAAUGGGCGCAAGCCUGAUGCAGCCAUGCCGCGUGUAUGAAGAAGGCCUUCGGGUUGUAAAGUACUUUCAGCGGGGAGGAAGGGAGUAAAGUUAAUACCUUUGCUCAUUGACGUUACCCGCAGAAGAAGCACCGGCUAACUCCGUGCCAGCAGCCGCGGUAAUACGGAGGGUGCAAGCGUUAAUCGGAAUUACUGGGCGUAAAGCGCACGCAGGCGGUUUGUUAAGUCAGAUGUGAAAUC